rnacentral:rRNA from 1 species
UACCAGCACCCCGAGUGGUCGGGACGUUUUAUUGGGCCUAAAGCAUCCGUAGCCGGUUCUACAAGUCUUCCGUUAAAUCCAACUGCUUAACAGGUGGGCUGCGGAAGAUACUAUAGAGCUAGGAGGCGGGAGAGGCAAGCGGUACUCGAUGGGUAGGGGGUAAAAUCCGUUGAUCCAUUGAAGACCACCAGUGGCGAAGGCGGCUUGCCAGAACGCGCUCGACGGUGAGGGAUGAAAGCUGGGGGAGCAAACCGG